GAAGGUUCUCGUGCCAGGCUGGGCUCUGUGGCCAUGCGGGCGGCUCGUUUGGUCACGAUCUUUGCCCCACAGGAAGCAGGCGGCCUGGUUCUACCUUUGACCCGGGAGCACAUUUUCACCAGUGACAGCAGGGCCCUGCCGCUCUCCACGGUCUACAGCAUCUGCUCCACCUCGUGCUGCACCUACUCCUGCGAGGGUCCGUGAGGCUGAUGCCCUGUUUGCUUUCAUUCACUGAAAAACUACGCGAGUGGCAGAGACGGCGCCAGGCCACGAGACCAUAGGUCAACCAGAUGAAAUUCUCUCUUCGCUAAUUCAAAGUGGGAAGAUCUGACCAGUCAGGAACAUGUGGAAAACACGCUUGCUCCAUGUGGUGGCUGGGAGGGCCCUGCCGGCAGGUGCCGAGUGACCUGGCUGCCCGCUACUUCCUCUGCGUGGCCAUCAAUGGGACAUUGUGCUGCCAGGGACGCGCGGUGGAAGGCAGCAAGCCUUCAUCUUCACCUGGGCUGGAAUGCUGCUGAGUCACCUGGCUGCGGAGCACGUCAGGCAGAGGAUCCUGUGUCCCCUCCGUGCGCAAGAGGACACCAGAGAAGGGGCUCAGGGCCCCCUGUGUGAUCUCUGCUCAUGAGGUUCACAAGCAUCUCUGGAUCACAGCUACGGACAUCUCAGCAAACCAGCAAAACCAGAAGGUGGAGGAGGCCGGGCGAUGGUGGGCUCCACACGAGGAGCCGGCUGUGUGCCCUGCUGUGUGCGCAGUCGCAUGCUACGUGCGCUUGUGUGUGCACACACAGGGGUCUGCUCUAGUGCUGGCCUACUUCCUGAAGCCUGCUCCGAAAAUGACAUACAUUCUCGGGGAUACAUGAAAGGGUAAAAACUUCUUGCAUUGUUUUAAAAGCCACUAGGCGGGGAGCUGAUGGCUCACACCUAUAAUCCUAGGAGGCUGAGAUCUGAGGAUCAUAGUAUG